GUCCACGCUGUAAACGAUGUCAACUAGCCGUUGGUCCUUAUCCAAGGACAAGUGGCGCAGCUAACGCAUUAAGUUGACCGCCUGGGGAGUACGGCCGCAAGGUUAAAACUCAAAUGAAUUGACGGGGGCCCGCACAAGCGGUGGAGCAUGUGGUUUAAUUCGAUGCAACGCGAAGAACCUUACCUACCCUUGACAUCCUAAGAAUCGGUUAGAGAUAGCCGAGUGCCUUCGGGAGCUUAGAGACAGGUGCUGCAUGGCUGUCGU
rnacentral:rRNA from 1 species